GAUGAACGCUGACAGAAUGCUUAACACAUGCAAGUCAACUGUGGCGGACGGGUGAGUAACGCGUAAAGAACUUGCCUCACAGCUAGGGACAACAUUUGGAAACGAAUGCUAAUAACUGAUACUGUGAGAGAGCUGUGCGGCCCAUUAGCUAGUUAGAGAGGUAACGGCUCACCAAGGCGAUGAUGGGUAGCCGGCCUGAGAGGGUGAUCGGCCACAAGGGGACUGAGACACUGCCCUUACUCCUACGGGAGGCAGCAGUGGGGAAUAUUGGACAAUGGACCAAAGUCUGAUCCAGCAAUUCUGUGUGCACGAUGAAGUUUUCGGAAUGUAAAGUGCUUUCUGUUGGGAAGCGGUACCAACAGAAGAAGGGACGGCUAAAUACGGGCCAGCAGCCGCGGUAAUUC
rnacentral:rRNA from 1 species